AGCGGCGGAUGGGUGAGUAACACGUGGGGAACCUGCCCCUAAGUCUGGGAUACCAUUUGGAAACAGGUGCUAAUACCGGAUAAUAAAGCAGAUCGCAUGAUCAGCUUUUGAAAGGCGGCGUAAGCUGUCGCUAAGGGAUGGCCCCGCGGUGCAUUAGCUAGUUGGUAAGGUAACGGCUUACCAAGGCGACGAUGCAUAGCCGAGUUGAGAGACUGAUCGGCCACAUUGGGACUGAGACACGGCCCAAACUCCUACGGGAGGCAGCAGUAGGGAAUCUUCCACAAUGGACGCAAGUCUGAUGGAGCAACGCCGCGUGAGUGAAGAAGGUUUUCGGAUCGUAAAGCUCUGUUGUUGGUGAAGAAGGAUAGAGGUAGUAACUGGCCUUUAUUUGACGGUAAUCAACCAGAAAGUCACGGCUAACUACGUGCCAGCAGCCGCGGUAAUACGUAGGUGGCAAGCGUUGUCCGGAUUUAUUGGGCGUAAAGCGAGCGCAGGCGGAAAAAUAAGUCUAAUGUGAAAGCCCUCGGCUUAACCGAGGAACUGCAUCGGAAACUGUUUUUCUUGAGUGCAGAAGAGGAGAGUGGAACUCCAUGUGUAGCGGUGGAAUGCGUAGAUAUAUGGAAGAACACCAGUGGCGAAGGCGGCUCUCUGGUCUGCAACUGACGCUGAGGCUCGAAAGCAUGGGUAGCGAACAGGAGUAGAUACCCUGGUAGUCCAUGCCGUAAACGAUGAGUGCUAAGUGU
rnacentral:rRNA from 1 species